rnacentral:rRNA from 1 species
AGUGAACGCUGGCGGUAGGCCUAACACAUGCAAGUCGAACGGCAGCACAGUAAGAGCUUGCUCUUACGGGUGGCGAGUGGCGGACGGGUGAGGAAUACAUCGGAAUCUACUUUUUCGUGGGGGAUAACGUAGGGAAACUUACGCUAAUACCGCAUACGACCUACGGGUGAAAGUAGGGGAUCUUCGGACCUUGCGCGAUUGAAUGAGCCGAUGUCGGAUUAGCUAGUUGGCGGGGUAAAGGCCCACCAAGGCGACGAUCCGUAGCUGGUCUGAGAGGAUGAUCAGCCACACUGGAACUGAGACACGGUCCAGACUCCUACGGGAGGCAGCAGUGGGGAAUAUUGGACAAUGGGCGCAAGCCUGAUCCAGCCAUACCGCGUGGGUGAAGAAGGCCUUCGGGUUGUAAAGCCCUUUUGUUGGGAAAGAAAAGCAGCAGGCUAAUACCCCGCUGUUCUGACGGUACCCAAAGAAUAAGCACCGGCUAACUUCGUG